UGGGGAAUUUUGCACAAUGGGGGAAACCCUGAUGCAGCGACGCCGCGUGAUUUAGAAGGCCUUCGGGUUGUAAAAAUCUUUUCUAUGGGAAGAAAAUGACAGUACCAUAGGAAUAAGGACCGGCUAAUUACGUGCCAGCAGCCGCGGUAAUACGUAAGGUCCGAGCGUUGUCCGGAAUCAUUGGGCGUAAAGGGUACGUAGGCGGGUAAGCAAGUUAGAAGUGAAAUCCUAUAGCUCAACUAUAGUAAGCUUUUAAAACUGCUCAUCUUGAGGGAUGGAAGGGAAAGUGGAAUUCCUAGGGUAGCGGUGAAAUGCGCAGAUAUUAGGAGGAGUACCGGUGGCGAAGGCGGCUUUCUGGCCAUAACCUGACGCUGAGGUACGAAAGCGUGGGUAGCAAACAGG
rnacentral:rRNA from 1 species